UAGAAUGACGAGCAACAAAGAGUUUUAAAGCUGCUGAGACUCCAUACAAUGCUUGACAGUACUUGUAAUGUGCAUCAGCCAGUGUGUACCUCCUAUCUACAGCCAAUUUCAGGUACUGUUUUCUCUCUUUACAUAUGGAUACUACCUCUUCUUCAUCUUCUAACUUGGAUGCAACACACCCCAUUUCUCCUCCCUACUCAGCUUUGCAAAAAAUAGGAUAUUCUUGAAAAAAAGGUGCUUUCUUGGAGGGAUGUGUGGGGGGUGAAAAGGGGUUAAAGUAAGUUCCUUUUUUGUUUAUUUUGGAACAGAGAUUCUACUGUAGAGAGAAACAAGAAGUCGAAAAAUGUCCCUUUUAAGAAUGGUUUCAGAACAACCCAUUGAAACAUAGAAAGAGGUUUUUAGGUAAAAAAGCAAGUAUUGGGAAUACCCACUUGGCCUUAACCAG
rnacentral:lncRNA from 1 species